UACGUAGGGGGCAAGCGUUGUCCGGAUUAUUUGGGCGUAAAGAGCGUGUAGGCGGCCAGGUAGGUCUGCUGUGAAAACUCGAGGCUUAACCUCGAGAUGUCGGCGGAAACCAUCUGGCUAGAGUCCGGAAGAGGAGAGUGGAAUUCCUGGUGUAGCGGUGAAAUGCGCAGAUAUCAGGAAGAACACCCGUGGCGAAGGCGGCUCUCUGGGACGGUACUGACGCUGAGACGCGAAAGCGUGGGGAGCGAACAGG
rnacentral:rRNA from 1 species